rnacentral:tRNA from 1 species
GGUUCCAUAGUGUAGUGGUUAUCACGUCUGCUUUACACGCAGAAGGUCCUGGGUUCAAUCCCCAGUGGAACCA